AUCACUUUUCGGCCUUUUGGCUAAGAUCAAGUGUAGUACUUCUUAAAAACUUCGAGAAUUGGAGCAUUUACAACUUCUGGAGGCAAGUUGUCCCACUGAUUAAUUGUUCUAACAUUUCAGAUAACCUAGGGUCUGGUCUCUUGUCUGAUUUAAUUAUAUACAUUUUCAUUAAAAAAAUAAUUAAGACUAU
rnacentral:snRNA from 1 species